UACGUAGGUGACAAGCGUUGUCCGGAUUUACUGGGCAUAAAGAGCGCGCAGGCGGUCGGUCAAGUCGAGUGUGAAAGCCCCCGGCUCAACUGGGGAGGGUCAUUCGAUACUGAUCGACUCGAAGGCAGGAGAGGGUAGUGGAAUUCCCGGUGUAGUGGUGGAAUGCGUAGAUAUCGGGAGGAACACCAGUGGCGAAGGCGGCUUCCUGGCCUGUUCUUGACGCUGAGGCGCGAAAGCUAGGGGAGCAAACGGG
rnacentral:rRNA from 1 species